rnacentral:rRNA from 1 species
GACGAACGCUGGCGGCGUGCUUAACACAUGCAAGUCGAACGCUGAAGACCUGGCUUUUGUUGGGUUGGAUGAGUGGCGAACGGGUGAGUAACACGUGCGUAACCUGCCCUCUUUUUUGGGAUAACGCCCGGAAACGGGUGCUAAUACUGGAUAUUCACUGAUCUUCGCAUGGGGGUUGGUGGAAAGGUUUGUUCUGGUUGGGGUUGGGCUCACGGCCUAUCAGGUGGUUGGGGGGGUGAUGGCCUACCAGGGCUGUGACGGGUAGCAGGCCUGGGAGGGCGACCGGUCACAUUGGAACUGGGCUACGGCCCAGACGGCGGCGGGAGGCAGCAGUGGGGAAUAUUGCACGAUGGCCGAAAGCAUGAAGCCGCGGCGCGGCGUGAGGGAUGGAGGCUUGCGGGUUGUAAUCCUCUGUCGCUAAUGGUCAAGCCGCAACUGUGGGUUGUGGUGAGGGUAGUGGGUAAAGAAGCGCCGGCUAACUACGUG